UGUCCCAGUAGCUCAGCUGGAUAGAGCAACGCCCUUCUAAGGCGUCGGUCGGGAGUUCGAAUCUCUCCUGGGACGUUAA
rnacentral:tRNA from 1 species